rnacentral:rRNA from 1 species
UAGGGAAUCUUCGGCAAUGGACGAAAGUCUGACCGAGCAACGCCGCGUGAGUGAAGAAGGUUUUCGGAUCGUUAAAACUCUGUUGGUAGAGAAGAACGUUGGUGAGAGUGGAAAGCUCAUCAAGUGACGGUAACUACCCAGAAAGGGACGGCUAACUACGUGCCAC